AUUGAACGCUGGCGGCAGGCCUAACACAUGCAAGUCGAGCGGAUGAAGGGAGCUUGCUCCUGGAUUCAGCGGCGGACGGGUGAGUAAUGCCUAGGAAUCUGCCUGGUAGUGGGGGAUAACGUCCGGAAACGGGCGCUAAUACCGCAUACGUCCUGAGGGAGAAAGUGGGGGAUCUUCGGACCUCACGCUAUCAGAUGAGCCUAGGUCGGAUUAGCUAGUUGGUGGGGUAAAGGCCUACCAAGGCGACGAUCCGUAACUGGUCUGAGAGGAUGAUCAGUCACAAUGGAACUGGGACACGGUCCAAGCUCCUAAGGGAGGGCGGCGGUGGGAAUUAUGGGCAAUGGGGCGAAGGCUGGUCCAACCCAGGCGGGUGUUGGAAAGAAGUUCUCCGAAUUGUAAAGCACUUUAGUUGGGAGGAAAGGGAAUUAGGUUAAAACUUGCUGUUUUGGCGGUACCCAACAGAAUAAACACGGCUAACCUCGUG
rnacentral:rRNA from 1 species